rnacentral:rRNA from 1 species
AGAUUGAACGCUGGCGGCAGGCCUAACACAUGCAAGUCGAGCGGUAGAGAGGUGCUUGCAUCUCUUGAGAGCGGCGGACGGGUGAGUAAUGCCUAGGAAUCUGCCUAGUGGUGGGGGAUAACGUUCGGAAACGGACGCUAAUACCGCAUACGUCCUACGGGAGAAAGCGGGGGACCUUCGGGCCUCGCGCCAUUAGAUGAGCCUAGGUCGGAUUAGCUAGUUGGUGAGGUAAUGGCUCACCAAGGCGACGAUCCGUAACUGGUCUGAGAGGAUGAUCAGUCACACUGGAACUGAGACACGGUCCAGACUCCUACGGGAGCAGCAGUGGGGAAUAGUUGGACAAAGUGGGACGAAAGGCC